AACGUAGGAAGCGAGCGUUAUCCGGAUUUACUGGGCGUAAAGCGUGUGUAGGCGGUUUGACAAGUUGGAUGUGAAAGCUCCUGGCUUAACUGGGAGAGGUCGUUCAAAACUGUCAGACUCGAGAGUGGUAGAGGGAGGUGGAAUUCCGGGUGUAGUGGUGAAAUGCGUAGAUAUCCGGAGGAACACCAGUGGCGAAGGCGGCCACCUGGACCGAUAUUGACGCUGAGACGCGAAAGCGUGGGUAGCAAACAGGAUUAGAUACCCUAGUAGU
rnacentral:rRNA from 1 species